UUCAGAAAUUAUGCUUGCUAUUUGGUGUUCUGGGAUCAUACAAGCCUGCAUGCAAAUUCUGACUCUGAUUUAUUAACUGUGAAACUCUGGACAAAAAUUUUAAAUUUCUAAGCCUUAGUUCUCACUUUAGCAAAAAACAGGUCAGAAGUAUUAAAUACCAUAAUGUAUUUAUAGCUCUGAGGGCAUUGCCUGCCUUACUGAAAUGCUCAUUUAUUCACCCAGCCUGUAUUUCCUGAGCUCAUGCUGGGCACCAAGCACAGUUCUACGUGUUGGGGAUCCUGGAUAGUAAACCAAGCCUGUGAAGCUUAUGUUCUAGGGGGAGUGGGAGAGGGAGUGUAAACAAUGGAGAUAAAAUACAGCAGGAAAGGAGAAUUGGGGGUCCAGCAGGGGUGAGGCUGCCAUUUGAAUGGAGUGGUACAGACAAGAAUCGACAAGAAGGUGACACCCAAGAAAAGACAUAGGGGAGGUGAGAGCAUGAACUGGACACACAGAGGAGGUGGUGCUCUUGGAGAAGGAAGAGCCAGUGCAAAGUCCCUCAGGCAGGAGUGGACCUGAUGUAUCUCAGGAGCAAUAAGGCACCUGUAGGGAGGAAUCAGUGAGAGAGAAAAUGAGAACAGUGGGAGGUCAGAGGACUACAUGAUGAGAGCUGGCGUAGAUUCAGUAGGACUUUGCAGGCUGGCAUAGACUAGCUUUUUCUCAAAGAAGAAUAGGAGGAUUAUUUGGAGGACUUUGAGCAAAGGGUGAUGUAUCUGGCUAGCAUUUUCACAGUGCCCUGUUGAGUGCUCUGCUGGAAUAUUUUCUACAGGAAUAUGGGAAGAGAGACACCUACAAUGAUCCAUGUGAGGGCCAUGAUGGAGAUCCAGGCUGCCAGCAGUGGGGCUGGUGAGGAGUGGCUGGAUUCUGGAUAUAUUCUGAAGUUAGAACUUAUAGGGUUUCACAACAGGUUGGAUGUCGAGGGUGACAGAAAGAGAGACGUUAAGGAUGACACCAGAAUUUGAUGCCUGAGCAGUUUGAAGUAUAAAUGGGUUUGGAAUGUGACACCAAGUUCUAUUUGGGACAUAUUACUUUUUUUUGGUGGUGGUGGUGGGGUACCAGGGAUCAAACUUGGGCCCUUGCGCUUGCGAGGCUGGCGGCGAAACCACUGAGCUAAAUCCCUGGCCCAGGGACAUAUUACUUUGAGAUGCCAUUCAGACCCCAGUGCAGAUGGUAGAGGAGAGCAUACAGUGAGAAGCAGGAGCUCUGGAGAGUGAGCUGGGCUGGCGACAUUGGUUUCGGAGUCACAGCACAGAGAUGGGACUUAAAUUGGCAGAUGCCUGAGGGAUUCAGUGGAGCAGGAAUGGAAAUCAGGUCCGAGGACAGAGCUCUGUGUAGGCCGUGGCCUCUGAGCAGCCUGGCCUGUGCAGGGAUCCCCAGCCUCCCAUCUAGAAUUCAGUCCCAGGAGGGAACCCUAGCUUUCCAGGAAGGAUUCCCUUACCUCAUUGUCUGUAGUGUCUUGAUGCAUAAACAGAUGGCUCUAAGCUGGAAUGGAACUCUACUUUGGAUGAUGGAGUAAGGAAUCUCCCCCCACCACCAGAAUUCAGUGUCACACAUUCUAGAAAUUUGAAAAGUAGCAAAUAUUCUCAAUAUUUUACUGUCAUUGUCAAAUUUGUUCUUUGAUAAAUGAGUACUGUGACCUUUCUUUUAAAUCUCUCUCAUUUAUCUUUAAAUCUCCUUUCCAUUGCAUUCUUUACUUUGUCUCCUAAGACUGCCUUUAAAAAACAAAACAAAACACAGGUUUGAAUCUCUUUUCAAAUGUAUAUUUUGUAUUGUUUACCAUCACAUCAGAUACACUAAACAUAGACCAGCUAUGUUUUGGAGCUUGGUUACUUGGAGUACAAAGUCUGGCUAUUGAGCACAAAACAAUUUCUGGAAAAAUGCCUGUAUAAAGAAUCUUAAAUUAUUCCCAAAGAUAAUGCAAUGGAUCCCUUAGGACCUGAGGUUUAAUUUCUGUCUUCUAGCUGAUGGACAGUCCCACACAUUUCUCUCUGUAUGUGGCCCUUGAGUAAAUGAUAAACAAACAAACAUACAAACAAAAACAUUCCACAGUCUUAUUCUGAGUCUUAUUUCCAUAGCAGUUAAUUAGGGCAGUUGGGAGGUAUGGGACCUGCCUCAGACUCAAGGCAAGGUCACCAUUAUGCCCUUUGCCUGUACUUCCCUUUGGAAAAUGAAGAGAAAAAUCACCUGAUCCCUUUGUAUGCAAAAUUCUCCUAUUUGAGGAAAAUGUACUUUAGGAAGUUAUGUUCUUUGAGGAGGGACAUGCUCGUCUGAAGGUACUGCAGUCUCUAUCAGAGCCUGGACUGUCAAGAGGUGCUAUGGCUUUUAGAGCUUAAUGAGUAAAUUUGCAUGUUGAAUGUAAAUGAGGCAUAAUACUAACUCUAGCUUCAAAGAGCAAAGAGGGAAGGAGACAGUUAAACAGCUGUGAGGCUUUUUUUCUGACUAGACAAGCCUAGGAGUUGCAUUGCCAUAAGGGCAUAAUGUGAUAGUUUUGUGAUGGCUUCUACCAAGCCACAUGGAAAGAAAAAUCCUAUAGUAUAAAGAGAGGAGAGUUGUUCUCCACAAAGAUCUGGUGUGAGAUACCAGGGUCUAGUUACCCAAGAACUCACCUUCUCUGCAGUGUACUGCUCCCUUCUGCAGGUGGCCAGAGAGUCAUGGCCUCAAGCAGCAGCCAGCAUGAGUUCUUGAAGGGCAUGUCACUAAGGGCUUCAGCUGCUCCAGCUCUGCUCCCACCUGCCUGCAAUAAUCCCACCCAUCAGACUGCACUCAUGCUCCAAAGUUGCCAAAUUCUAUUAGCUACAGAGAGUAAUAGUUCCAUACCUGUGACUCUAAUCACCUCCCUCCUGCAAGUGAAAUAAUUAAAAUGCAUGUGCAAAUACAUUAGUUACAAAGGUAGUGUCCUUCUUCACAUGCAAAUGCAAUCAAUAGAUGCCAACAUGAUUUGCAUAAUGGAAAAAGGGAAAGGAGUCUUUUGUAAUGGGGCUUUUAGGGUGCAAACUUAAAAGUCUUCAUGUAAACGUGUGUAAUCUCAGCCUGUCUGGGAGGCUGGCACAGUGUUAUGCUCCAGAGCAAAAAAUUGCUUUAAGAUCCAGGGCAUUUCUUUCAGAAAGCCCUCCUUGGUCAACAAUCUAUUCCCUUACUCCAGCCCCUCAGUGCACAUAGGUCAGGGCUAGGACCACAUUUUACUUUGAGGGUACUUUCCUUGUAAGCUUGAGCCCAGGAAACUGCCACUGUCCUUCUCCCUCCGCAUACCUCAUUGCUUAAUUCUGAGACCACGUAAACACAUUUGUUCACUGUGUUCAUUUGGGUGGAUUGAGCCCCUGAGUGAAGAGAUGAGUUAUCCAAGGCUAUGGUGAUAUGAGCAGUGGCGCUAGACCAAGAAGGAAGGUCUGUGGAAGUCCUGGUUGCAAGGCAAAACUGCUUCCAAAAGUGGCAAGAAUGAGGGGAUAAGUGUGUUUGAAGCAAGGGGGAAAGCUUUGAGGGGAAUAAUGGCAAUGUGUCUUUUACUGUAAUAAUUAAAAAAUUUUAAACAAUAUAGUUUUUCCAUUACACGAUGUAUGUCACUUGGCUUCAGGCUAUUGUGAACCUCUUGAGAGAUGCUUGAUAUUAAACAACUCACAAAACAAAACUUAACUGCUAGUUUCAGGGUGAAGGCUAGAAACUUCCACAAACUAGAUAAAGCACAGCUUCUCCCUAAAGGACUCUAUCAGAGAUUGCUCACAUUUUUUGUUUAUAAGAAGACUUUCUACACCAGAAAAAAAUAUUUAGGAUCUUCUAUCCAAACAAUUAAAAUUGUAUAAAAGUAUAUAUUAACUGAAAAAAAAAAAUAGAAAAUGAUAGAAAGUACCAUGAAUCUAGUAGCAAUAUACCUGUUCCUAAAAUAGUACGUAGAUGUGAAAACAUAUUAUUUUUUCAGCCCCUUGGGCAAUACCUGGAAAGCCUUUGGAUUUGUGGAUAUUUCACUGCCUCAACAGUGUGCACAGGUCUAUGGCUUAGAGCUACUCUGGUAGAGAGAUCAUUUGUCAUGAAGUUGAAACACCGUGGAAUAGAAUCUGUUGUCUGGUACUUUUAGGAGGCUGAGACAGGUGAUAACCAGCUGUUAAAAGAAAAACUUUAGACAAAAUACGUUUAACAGAGUUAAUGUGAACAAUAAAAGAUUCAUGAAUCAUACACCACUUGAAACCAGAAGGUGUUAAGAGAGCUCGGGCUCAGCAUAAUGGCAGUGAGCUUUUGUAGGCUGAACAUGGAAAUAAAAUACAGAAAUUAUUGGAUUCGCUACAGCUAGGCAUUUGUUCUGCUUGGGGAUAUUCCUAUGGGAGGUCCCAUGUAGUGGGUAAAUCAGCUGGUUGGCUGUCUGUGAUUGGCUGAAACUUGGUUGAAAAUGAAUCACUUAUAAGGACUACGGCUAAGUUAAGAUUUCUUUUGCUUGUAAGAGAGUUUUAGUCAGAAGCACCUCCAGGUUAACAGUCUUUUGCUUAUUUUGGUUUUAAAAAUAUUAGCACAUUGGGCCGGGGAUUUAACUCAGUGGUUUCGCGGCCUGCUGUGCAAGCACAAGGACCCGAGUUCAAUCCCCAGUACCUCCCCCCCAAAAUUAGUACAUGUUUGCAGUAUAUGAAGUUUGAAGCUUAUUUUUGCUUUUACACAGUCAAGAUUGUUCUUCCAGUCAUCCUGAAACAAGCUUCCUAUAUGUAAAUCUUGAGAGAGAUGAGGGGAAAUGGAAUGAUUUCCAAAAUAUGAGUUCGUUCUCAAAAGGAUAUGGAUCUUGGUUCGAGAGCAUAAAUAUGGUGACUAAUAAUAAUAAAAAUGAUAAGAUACCAUUUAAGUAGCUACUAAGUGGCAGUAAACCAUAAAAAGAUAUUAGAUAUAGACUUAAUAUACUUUCCCCAUAGAAAACCCAGGAUCUCAUGUUCAUCAAUCUCUGCACUGAGUUAGGUUUUAUGAAGUAAAUUCUACCAGUCAAAAGUAACUAAAUCAGAAUUCCAAUCUUUACUGGCAUCUCUCAAAGAACAUUAAAAUGAUUAAAUUCAAUCCUCACAGCAAAAUCUGUCAAAGUUCCUUUCCUUGGUCAGUCUUUACAUUUUGUUGCCUACUUCAGAACUUCUUACUUGACAGUUACUCCUUAAUGCUCAUGGCAAUGAUUUAUUUAUUUAUUUAUUGCCUGCCCUUGAAAUAAGAUUGUUACCAGGCAGAUAGACUUAAUCAUUACUGCAUCAGAUUUAUUUCUUCUCUGUCGGUCCAUUCUGCAGGUUCUCUGCACCAGAGGGCAGUGCUGGGGCUGAGAGAACAUACAAGAAUCCUAUCUCCCUGCCUCUACCUGCAUCUCUCCUUCACAGUCUCUGUCUCUCUGUCUCUCUCUCUGUCUCUCUCUCUCCCCCCCUCUCUCCCCCUCUCCCUCUCUCUCUCUUUCUCUUCCCCCACUUCAUUCUUCCUAAUUGACAUCACAAAAAGCCAGACAAUGGGGGUGGCAUAAACUCUCUGGAAAGAUCAGGAAAAGCAGACCAAAAUUCUCAGGAUGGACUGGGAUGUGGUGAGGAAGUGGAGAAAGGAUGAAUAUUGGGAAUGUCGACACUAGUCCACGUGGAUAUAUCUGGCUCUGGUUAUGUACAUCUUAUGGUUUAAUUUUCACAAUAACCCUAUGAGGGAGUUGGGAUUAAUCUCAUGUUUCAUAUGAGGAAAGGAGGCUUGGAGACAUUAACCAGGAAAAUGAGAGAUUAAAAGGACAAAACAGAAAGGUGCUGUGUUGAUUGAUACCCACAGAAGUGCUCUUCUCUCCUCUUAGGUUUUGCCAGCAUUUGACCCCAGGAGUCCUGUUCCAGACAAUUCUGUGUCUUAAGUGUUUUCUGAUCACUCAGUCCACACCAAUCUUUAUCCCAGCCCUUUGAUUUGCCUAUAGUACUAGAGUUUCAUGUCAUGGGUCCAAGUGGUCAUUUAGUUGUUCUGUAGGAAAAACACUCUAUAUUCACUCUGGCAACCCCAGGCUAUUCCCCCUGUUCAAACUUAGCUUUCUCGUGCUUGUCUUUCUGCCCUUGAAAGUGCUUCACGGCCCUGUCAUCUGGUUCCCAUCCCAAGUUCCCCCAGGAAGGUCCCUGUUAUGGACUGAAUUGUGUUCCCUCAAACUUCAUAUUUUGAAUUCCUAACCCCCAGGACUUCAGAAUAUGAGUGUACUUGGAGAUAGAGCCUUCAAAGAGGUAAUCAAGCAAGAAACAUGAUCACCAAUGUGGGCCUUAAUGUAAUACAACUGGCAUCUUUUAAAAAGGGAAGAUUAGAACACAGACAUACACAGAAGGGAGACUGUGAGGACACAGCUGGAAAGUGGCAACUUGCAAGCCAAGGAGAAGGACCUCAGAAAAAAUUAACCCCACUGACAACUUGGUUUUGGACUUCCAGCCUUCAGAACUGUGAGAAAACACAUGUCUCUUGUUUAAGCCACCCAGACUGUGGUAUUUUGUUAUGACAGCCAUAGAAACUCAUAUACUGCCCUUCUUUGGAUUGGGUGGCAGUUUCUGAACUAGAAUCAAUUUCAUGGGAGUCUAAAAUGACUGGGAAGAGCCUUAGAGUCUGCGUAUGGCCCUCAAAGAGGCUGCUGAACAGCCUACCCUGAAUCUAUCAGGAACUCAUCUCUAGGGAAUUUAUCGUGAACUACCUGAAGAUUAUCCUCCUCUCGAAUGAUGGUACAUGUGAGACAGUUCAGCUGAGAGGUGGCUGCUAGGUCUCUAAAGACUGAUAUAGGAAGGAGUGAGAGGAAGACCCAAUAGACAACUCCUGUCCACAGGCCAACAGUGGUAGCAUCACCUGAGAGUGUGUUAGAAAUGCAAGAUCUCAGCUGCCACCCCAGAAUCUUCAUUUUAAUAUAAGCCUCAAGCAAUUAAGACACUUACUACAUUUUGAGAAACACUGACACUGAUCUGUAGAUCUCAAGUCAUAAUGGAUCUUUAUAGGUCCAGUGUAUCCCUGGCAUAGGCCAGAGGAGUAGGACAAUGAUUCUCAUUGAAAUCACAUGGGGGAGACUUUGGGACUCCUGAUGCCAAGGCCUUGGCCAAGCAAUGAGGAGCUCUGUAGGAGACCCAAGCACCAAAACAUUUUAAAAGCACCUUAAGCAAUUCCAAUUUGUGGACACACUUGAGAAUGUAUCUAUUAUCUAUUUACUCAUAAGAAACUGCCCAACAUUCAGUGGCUUAAAACCAUACCAUUUAUUAACCUCAUGAUUUCAUAGAUUCUGAAAGUUAGUGAUUUGGGCUCGCAUCUAUUUGGUGGUUUUGAUCUCUAUUUGGAAAGAGAGGGAGAGGGAGAAGGAGAGAGGGAGAGGGAGAGGCAGAGAGAGAGAGAGAGAGAGAGAGAGAGAGAGAGAGAGAGAGAGGAACCUCCUUGAGAUCUAGACUCAGAACAGGUACCAUGUUGUUUCCACAAUUUCUAUUAGUGAAGCAAGUCACAGGGCCCAUAUUCAAAGGUAUAGUAGAUUUCACCUCUUGAUGGGAAGUUAUGCAGUCACACAUGAAAGGCAGAGAGGGGUAGAACUGUGGCAGAUUUUGCAGUCUAACACAUUGAAUUGAUAAGGCUCCCUCUUUGACCAAACUUUAGUUAGGCUCCUCCAAGCCUUCUUUUCACUACAAUUCUUCAUUGGCCCUAUCUUUGGCCACUGGAGCCAAUUUUAGCAAGGAUCUUCUAAGCCAGUGUAGGGAGAUCUCUUCAUCUUUGACUUCCAAUCAAAAUCCUCACUCCUCCACCCUCAAUAUCUAAUUGAGUUUGUCUCCCCCACUCUUGAUAUCUAACCAAGUUCUUCUUAGUUAUUUUCCAACCUCUCCAUCACCUUCCCUGUUGGCUAUAAAUCUUCUGCGCAUUCAGAAUUGACUUCAACCUCUCUCUUCUAUCAUAACAGUCUUCAGUUAAACCUUCCUAGGUCUUUUAAAAGACUUCAGUGCAACCUCUCUUGAACAGGAUCACUGGGAGGGGAAUGUCUUCUCUUCCCUGACCUUCCCCCAUGUUCCCAUGCUGCUAUUCUAAUGCCUAAGUGAGCUCUCUCUGCCUAGUCUAGGAAAUUGGACAAUGAAGUUCCCUUUCUGAGGGAAACAGAACAAGACAGUUUGCUGAACGAAGCUCCACAGUGUUUUGUGUUUAAAUCUCAGAGGUCUAUUUGUGAUCUCAAACAAAAAGUGUUCACUUGACUCCUCUUAAGCUGAAAUUUCUCAUCUUACAAAUGAGAACAAUAAUACCUUCCUAGCAGGGUUAUGAAGCUUAAAUAUCUGUAACAGCAUCAAGCUCACAGGUGUUCAGCUGAUUGGCUUUUUUUCCUUACAGAAAAAUCUCACUACUUACAAUGGACCAGACAAAGGCCAAUUUGAAUGAACAAAAGUUCAAUUACAGAAUUUCUCUACUUGCCCCCGAAGUAGUUGUCAUCUCUCCACCCCAGAGUAACCACAUUAUGUGAUUCCUCAAGGGGGAGGUUCUUAGAGGUCUGCAAGAACAAAUAGUGCCACAAUAAUUGAUGGUUCCUCCAAGAUUCCUGGACCUGCUAGGAAUCUGCAUCUGAAGUCACUCCAAGGGACCAGGUCCUCAGAACCCAGACCUUGAAGAAAGAGAUGUUCUGGGAUGCUGCCCACCAGGAGAAGACAAUAGAGGAAUUCUCAAAACUGGGUCCACAGCAUCUCUGAAGAGAGAGCAUGUGGAUGGUGUUACCUUCAUAUGGGGGACCCUAGAGGAUGUGUAUCACAGAAGAUCCACUACACUGCCGGCCCUUAGAGAUGAAAUGGAAAACGCAUGUGCAGCAAUCUCAACGACCAAGGUUACCCAAGCAGCAGUUCACCAUACUAAUAAAUGCCUGGAAGCUAAUGGCCAUCGCUUUUGUAAUAGUAGAGGCCAAAGCCUACUUGUAUUACUCCCAUGAUGUCUCAAUAAAUUUGGUAUUAAAAUAUUUACACAGGUUUUUCUUUUCCUGAAGUGUGUAUACAUAUUUUUGCAGACUCCGUAUAUGUUGCUUAAUAGAUACAACUGCUCCAUCUUCUUGUCAUUGCCAGGUUCUUGUCAUUUAGGUUUUGGCUCCACUCUCUUCCCCACCCACUCCCACAUCCCAAGCUGCCUCCUGCCACGUUAUCUUGCUUCACUGUACUCACAGAAUUGUGACUGUCUGCAUUAUCUCAUUCAUUUUUUUGUUUACUUUUUUGUUUUGCUGUCUGCUGCCCUG
ensembl:lncRNA